rnacentral:lncRNA from 1 species
AGAGAGAGAGAGAGAGAGUUUGCGCGAGAACGGCGAGAGAGGGGGUUUAUGGAUGAGUGCAACGAGAAAGAGUAGUUUAAGUGGUAACAAAUGUUGGUGAGAAAAAAUGGAACGCUUUUUUUUACUGCUGCUACGUUGAACCAAGUCAUAGUUGAAGAAAAUGUUAUCUCUGCAGGAAGAAGAUGUAGCGGCCGAAUUAGGGUUCGCUAGUAUCCUCCCUUCAUGUUAAGGCAUUGGGUCGGGUUGAUCCAAUCCG